UCCGUGUAUUUUCCGUGUAACGUGCGUGCAUCGUGUAUUCUUAAUCGUGUAUCGUGCGUGUAUCGUGCGCUCAUCAAACAUUCAUUCUUAACCGUGUAUCGUGCGUGUAUCGUGCGUUCAUCAAUCAUUCAUUCUUAACCGUGUAUCGUGCGUUCGUCAAUCGUGUAUAAUUGUGUAGAUCAGAUAACGUGCAUUUGUGAAACGUUCAUCUCUAAUUGUGUAACGUUCAUACAUUGCGGUUUUUAUAUGAUAGUCGGUU
rnacentral:lncRNA from 1 species